UCCCCUUCGAUUCCCUCCUCCUCUACCAGCGCGUGGCCGCCGCCGCCUACCCUCAGCCACACUGGCGACCAUCUCCGCCUCUUUCUCGAUCUGCUACCGUCGCGCGCCGUGCUUCUAGAUCAGGUGCAGAGCGCCUCCUAGGAGAGCAGGGCGGCAUGAUUUUCUUGAUGUGUGUGGAGGAGCAGGGGAGGAGGAGGAGGAGGACAGGAGCAGCGAGGUGGGAGCUCCAGGCGGUGCCAGGGUGUGCGAAAAGCCCGAGCCGAGGAUGUGAAGGUCCCUCCCGGCCCAUCAUUGUUCAAGGCAUGGGGUUGCUGCCUGAUUUGAAGUUGAUUUGAGAUUGCUGCUUGUCGUUGGUCGUAAGCAGAGACUUUGUGGUGGUCAAAGUCUCCCACCUCCAGCGGUUGGUUUCCAAUGGUUCAUGCAACGAAAUGGACUCUUGUGUCCAGCCUGGAGUGUGCAGUGUAGUGGCUGGUAGGGAAAGUACAGAGGAAUCUGCUUACAGAGUGUCUUAAUCUGAGAGAUUUUACCUGCUCAGCAAAGUGUAAAAAGGCUGCUCGACAAAGUGUAAAAUGGUAAAGAUCCGAGAAAGAAGAGAAGAAGAGUAAUCUAGCGGAGGAAGGUCUUCUCUCUUGUGGAACAUAAUAAGUUGCAGUGGUGGAAGAUAUAUCCUCGGCCAUGAAUGGAUGUGUUUGACAUUGUGAGAUGGUGUAGGUCACUGAUGAGGCAAGUGACCGAGGUGAGCUCAUGAAGACAAAGCGGCACAAAUAAACUUCUGACAAGCUCAUAGGAAACUUUUGUGAUUGGCAAUUAGCAUCAACACUUUGAAGAGCUCGGUGUAGUGGUUUGAAUGACCACCCCCUGCUAUCCAAUACUGCGGAGAGCUUGAAGCAUUGAAGUGAAGCUGAAAGAUCGUGGAUGUCGCCUAGGGGGGGGGGGGGUGAAUAGGCGUUUUAAAAUAAUUAUGGUUUAGGCUUGAACAAUUGCGGAAUAAACCUAGCGGUUAAUUUGACAAGCACAAAACCUAC